CCUACGGGAGGCAGCAGUGAGGAAUAUUGGUCAAUGGCCGGAAGGCUGAACCAGCCAUGCCGCGUGAAGGUCAGUGCCCUAUGGGCGUUAAACUUCUUUUGUGCGGGCGCAAUAAUGGUCACGUGUGGCCAGACGAGAGUACCGUACGAAUAAGCAUCGGCUAACUCCGUGCCAGCAGCCGCGGUACUCCGGGGGAUGCAUGCGUUAUCCGGAUUUAUGGGGUUUAACGGGUGCUUCGUCUGUGAGGUAAGUCAGGGGUGAAAUGCCCCCGCUCAACGGGGUGAAGUGCCAUUGAUACUGCCUUGCUGGAAUGCUGAUGCCGUGGGAGGAAUGUGUGGUGUAGCGGUGAAAUGCAUAGAGAUCACACAGAACACCGAUUGCGAAGGCAUCUCACGAAUCCGCGAUUGACGCUGAUGCACGAAAGCGUGGGUAUCAAACAGGAUUAGAUACCCCAGUAGUC
rnacentral:rRNA from 1 species